UACGUAGGGGGCGAGCGUUGUCCGGAAUUACUGGGCGUAAGGCGCGCGCAGGCGGUCCUUUAAGUCUGAUGUGAAAGCCCCCGGCUCAACCGGGGAGGGUCAUUGGAAACUGGGAGACUUGAGUGCAGGAGAGGAAAGCGGAAUUCCUAGUGUAGCGGUGAAAUGCGUAGAGAUCUGGAGGAACACCAGUGGCGAAGGCGGCCUCCUGGACUGACACUGACGCUGAGGUGCGAAAGCGUGGGGAUCAAACAGG
rnacentral:rRNA from 1 species